rnacentral:miRNA from 1 species
AAAAUCUAUUUCACUUCUAAGUACUAGUGCCGCAGGAGUUUAUAUUGAAACCUCCUGCUGCUCGGGUGCUUAUCACUGAAUAGAUUC